rnacentral:misc_RNA from 1 species
GUAAAUGUCUUGGCUUUACGUUUUUGUGCACUGAUGAUGAUUUUUUUUCUUAUUCUGUUGUUUUUUAAGAAGAAAAGCAAUA